rnacentral:rRNA from 1 species
UCCUACGGGAGGCAGCAGUUGGGCGAAAGCCUGAUCCAGCCAUGCCGCGUGAGUGAUGAAGGCCCUAGGGUUGUAAAGCUCUUUCAACGGUGAAGAUAAUGACGGUAACCGUAGAAGAAGCCCCGGCUAACUUCGUGCCAGCAGCCGCGGUAAUACGAAGGGGGCUAGCGUUGUUCGGAAUUACUGGGCGUAAAGCGCACGUAGGCGGAUUGUUAAGUUAGGGGUGAAAUCCCAGGGCUCAACCCUGGAACUGCCUUUAAUACUGGCAAUCUCGAGUCCGAGAGAGGUGAGUGGAAUUCCGAGUGUAGAGGUGAAAUUCGUAGAUAUUCGGAGGAACACCAGUGGCGAAGGCGGCUCACUGGCUCGGUA